AUUGAACGCUGGCGGCAUGCCCUACACAUGCAAGUCGAACGGUAACAGGUCUUCGGAUGCUGACGAGUGGCGAACGGGUGAGUAAUACACCGGAACGUGCCCGAUCGUGGGGGAUAACGGAGCGAAAGCUUUGCUAAUACCGCAUACGAUCUACGGAUGAAAGCAGGGGACCGCAAGGCCUUGCGCGGACGGAGCGGCCGAUGGCAGAUUAGGUAGUUGGUGGGAUAAAAGCUUGCCAAGCCGACGAUCUGUAGCUGGUCUGGCAGGACGACCAGCAACACUGGGACUAGGACACGACCCAGACGCCUACGGGAGGCAGCAGUGGGGAAUGUUGGACAAUGGGCGCAAGCCUGAUCCAGCCAUGCCGCGUGCAGGAUGAAGGCCUUCGGGUUGUAAACUGCUUUUGUACGGAACGAAAAGACUUCUUCUAAUACAGGAGGCCCAUGACGGUACCGUAAGAAUAAGCACCGGCUAACUACGUGCCAGCAGCCGCCGCUGUAA
rnacentral:rRNA from 1 species